rnacentral:rRNA from 1 species
GGUUCGCCGCCCGCCGGUGUCAACUGGCAUGUCCUGUGGAACGUCCUGCCGGUGGCGGACCGGGCUUUCGGCUUGCGUAAGGGCUUACGCUCGAAGCAGGCCGAACAGUACCGGCCGCCGGUCCAAUCCCGCCACGGUGCUCUUCACCGAGUGUCGAGGUGGGCCGGCACGUUUACUUUGAACAAAUUAGAGUGCUUAAAGCAGGCUGGUGUCCGCCUGAAUACUGUGUGCAUGGAAUAAUAGAAUAGGACCUCGGUUCUAUUUUGUUGGUUUUCGGAACCCGASGUAAUGAUUAAUAGGGACAGGCGGGGGCAUUCGUAUUGCGACGUUAGAGGUGAAAUUCUUGGAUCGUCGCAAGACGAACCUAAGCGAAACCAUUUGCCAAGUAUGUUCUCGUUAAUCAAGAACGAAAGUUAGAGGUUCGAAGGCGAUCAGAUACCGCCCUAGUUCUAACCAUAAACGAUGCCAGCCAGCGAUCCGCCGAAGUUCCUCCGAUGACUCGGCGGGCAGCUUCCGGGAAACCAAAGCUUUUGGGUUCCGGGGGAAGUAUGGUUGCAAAGCUGAAACUUAAAGGAAUUGACGGAAGGGCACCACCAGGAGUGGAGCCUGCGGCUUAAUUUGACUCAACACGGGAAACCUCACCAGGCCCGGACACCGAGAGGAUUGASAGAUUGAGAGCUCUUUCUUGAUUCGGUGGGUGGUGGUGCAUGGCCGUUC